rnacentral:misc_RNA from 1 species
AUGUACAUUUAGAUUGCUACUCAUAUAUAGAUAUUCUUCUCCUUUUUUUUGCAUUUUUUUUUUUAGCAAAGAGAAUAUUUAGAAAGAUUAGGAACGGGAGAUGAUGAGGACAAUAUGGAUACAAACAGUCAAGAAGAAGACAUGGAUGAAUGAGUUAUCCUCAAUGGUGACAGUUUGGCACUGCACUACGACAUUUUUAAUAUUAAUAUGUACAUGUAUAUGCAUCAAUAUACUAUAUGAUAUACUGAUUCAAAUAAAGAUGUCAACAGAU